CCCUGAAGGCUGAGACUGUUCGUUACUGUUGCUUGGUCUUUGCAUUUCCACUGCCUUGCACAUAGUAGGGCUUUAAUGAAACCUUGUUGGGUUGUUUGGAAGAUACCCAAUGGUGGUCCUCCAGGCAUGCCUUGUCGAUCCAGAGCCAAAGAGGUGACUCUGACUUUUGGACAUAGUCAAAAGUUAUUCAGAGCCAAGUCCUGUGAAGAGAGCGGUAAUUAACCUGCCAGAUAAUGGCAUGACCACUGAAAAUAACAAAUGAGUUGGACAUCUUGAGAAAUGGGACCAAUUUCCUUGUGUUCCUUCGAAUUGAUUCUGAAGAUUUAGUAAGGCUCUGCCAAAGAUGAUCUCAGUACUUCUAUGGGAGGAUGGAAAGCACUGCGAAUGCCAAGCAUCUGCAAGUUUAAACUGAGGAAGAAUAUUCUAAGAUCCUUCAAAUCAUGUUCAAGACAGUGUGAUCCGCCACUUGCUCUGGAGACGGUGCUGGCCUCAACAUGCUGACUCAGCAUCACUCUCAGACAUAAAUUUGUCUUAUUGUACACUCUUCCUAAAAGUGAUUGCUCUGAAAAUGUCGCAAUAUUUUCAGGACUCCUGCAAGGUCUGAUUGCUUUUGAGGUUGGUUCCAAAUAGCUGACACUCGGGAAGAGUGAAUGGUUCUGACCAUGGGUUCUGGUGCAUAAAGGGUUAUGUUCCCAGAGAAUAAAAGCUUCUA